rnacentral:rRNA from 1 species
GAUGAACGCUGGCGGCGUGCCUAAUACAUGCAAGUCGAGCGAACGGACGAGAAGCUUGCUUCUCUGAUGUUAGCGGCGGACGGGUGAGUAACACGUGGAUAACCUACCUAUAAGACUGGGAUAACUUCGGGAAACCGGAGCUAAUACCGGAUAAUAUUUUGAACCGCAUGGUUCAAAAGUGAAAGACGGUCUUGCUGUCACUUAUAGAUGGAUCCGCGCUGCAUUAGCUAGUUGGUAAGGUAACGGCUUACCAAGGCAACGAUGCAUAGCCGACCUGAGAGGGUGGUCGGCCACACUGGAACGGAGACGCGGUCCAGACUCCUACGGGAGGCAGCAGUAGGGAAUCUUCCGCAAUGGGCGAAAGCCUGACGGAGCAACGCCGCGUGAGUGAUGAAGGUCUUCGGAUCGUAAAACUCUGUUAUUAGGGAAGAACAUAUGUGUAAGUAACUGUGCACAUCUUGACGGUACCUAAUCAGAAAGCCACGGCUAACUACGUG